UACAGAGACUGCAAGCGUUAUUCGGAUUCACUGGGCGUAAAGGGUGCGCAGGCGGUCGGGUGUGUCAGAUGUGAAAUCCCGAGGCUCAAACCUCGGAACUGCGUCUGAAACUACUCGACGUAGAGUACUGGAGAGGGUAACGGAAGUUCACGGUUGUAGCAGUGAAAUGCGUAGAUAUCUGGAGGAACACCGGUGGCGAAGGCGGCGUUCUGGACUGCAACUGACACUGAGAAACGAAAGCCAGGUAGCAAACGGG
rnacentral:rRNA from 1 species